rnacentral:rRNA from 1 species
CAGCCGUAAACUAUGCUCGCUAGGUGUCAGGCAUGGCGCGACCGUGUCGGGUGCCGCAGGGAAGCCGUGAAGCGAGCCACCUGGGAAGUACGGCCGCAAGGCUGAAACUUAAAGGAAUUGGCGGGGGAGCACAACAACGGGUGGAGCCUGCGGUUUAAUUGGACUCAACGCCGGACAACUCACCGGGAACGACAGCAAUAUGUAGGCCAGGCUGAAGACCUUGCCUGGAUCGCUGAGAGGAGGUGCAUGGCGUAGACGUCU